AACGAACGCUGGCGGCAGGCCUAACACAUGCAAGUCGAACGCCGUAGCAAUACGGAGUGGCAGACGGGUGAGUAACACGUGGGAACGUACCCUUCGGUUCGGAAUAACUCAGGGAAACUUGAGCUAAUACCGGAUACGUCCGAGAGGAGAAAGAUUUAUCGCCGAGGGAUCGGCCCGCGUCUGAUUAGCUUGUUGGUGAGGUAAAGGCUCACCAAGGCUACGAUCAGUAGCUGGUCNGAGAGGAUGAUCAGCCACAUUGGGACUGAGACACGGCCCAAACUCCUACGGGAGGCAGCAGUGGGGAAUCUUGCGCAAUGGGCGAAAGCCUGACGCAGCCAUGCCGCGUGAAUGAUGAAGGUCUUAGGAUUGUAAAAUUCUUUCACCGGGACGAUAAUGACGGUACCCGGAGAAGAAGCUCCGGCUAACUUCGUGCCAGCCGCCGCAGUAAC
rnacentral:rRNA from 1 species